rnacentral:rRNA from 1 species
GGUUAGUGGCGGACUGGUGAGUAACACGUAAGCAACCUGCCUAUCAGAGGGGAACAACAGUUAGAAAUGACUGCUAAUACCGCAUAUGCCUUGAGUAUCACAUGGUACAAAAGGGAAAGGAGCAAUCCGCUGAUAGAUGGGCUUGCGUCUGAUUAGAUAGUUGGUGAGGUAACGGCCCACCAAGUCGACGAUCAGUAGCCGGACUGAGAGGUUGAACGGCCACAUUGGGACUGAGAUACGGCCCAGACUCC